rnacentral:tRNA from 1 species
GGGUCUGUAGCUCAGUGGUUAGAGCGCACGCCUGAUAAGCGUGAGGUCGGAGGUUCGACUCUUCCCAGGCCCA